rnacentral:rRNA from 1 species
GACGAACCGAGCGAGCGUUGUUCGGAAUCACUGGGCUUAAAGGGCGCGUAGGCGGGUUGCCAAGUUUGGGGUGAAAUCCUCCGGCUCAACCGGGGAAGGGCCUUGAAUACUGGCGGUCUGGAGGGGGGUAGGGGCGUGCGGAACUAACGGUGGAGCGGUGAAAUGCGUUGAUAUCGUUAGGAACUCCGGUGGCGAAGGCGGCACGCUGGACCCUCACUGACGCUGAGGCGCGAAAGCCGGGGGAGCGAACGGG